AUUGAACGCCGGCGGCAGGCUUAACACAUGCAAGUCGAGCGGAUGAGUGGAGCUUGCUCCAUGAUUCAGCGGCGGACGGGUGAGUAAUGCCUAGGAAUCUGCCUGGUAGUGGGGGACAACGUUUCGAAAGGAACGCUAAUACCGCAUACGUCCUACGGGAGAAAGUGGGGGAUCUUCGGACCUCACGCUAUCAGAUGAGCCUAGGUCGGAUUAGCUAGUUGAUGAGGUAAAGGCUCACCAAGGCGACGAUCCGUAACUGGUCUGAGAGGAUGAUCAGUCACACUGGAACUGAGACACGGUCCAGACUCCUACGGGAGGCAGCAGUGGGGAAUAUUGGACAAUGGGCGAAAGCCUGAUCCAGCCAUGCCGCGUGUGUGAAGAAGGUCUUCGGAUUGUAGAGCACUUUAAGUUGGGAGGAAGGGCAGUAAGUUAAUACCUUGCUGUUUUGACGUUACCAACAGAAUAAGCACCGGCUAACUUCGUGCCAGCCGCCGCGGUAAGAC
rnacentral:rRNA from 1 species